AGUCUUCUGUAUCAGUGCUGAGAUUUCGUCACACACCAGACCACAAGGGCUGAUGAGACGCUCAACUACUUCACUCC
rfam:Schistosoma margrebowiei strain Zambia genome assembly, scaffold: SMRZ_scaffold0000895